rnacentral:rRNA from 1 species
GUAGCUGGUCUGAGAGGAUGACCAGCCACACUGGAACUGAGACACGGUCCAGACUCCUACGGGAGGCAGCAGUGGGGAAUAUUGGACAAUGGGGGCAACCCUGAUCCAGCAAUGCCGCGUGUGUGAAGAAGGCCUGAGGGUUGUAAAGCACUUUCAGUGGGGAGGAGGAUUGAUAGGUUAAGAGCUGAUUAAUUGGACGUUACCCACAGAAGAAGCACCGGCUAACUCCGUGCCAGCAGCCGCGGUAAUACGGAGGGUGCAAGCGUUAAUCGGAAUUACUGGGCGUAAAGGGUGCGUAGGUGGUUGAAUAAGUUAUCUGUGAAAUCCCUGGGCUYAACCUGGGCAGGUCAGAUAAAACUGUUUGACUCGAGUAUGG